rnacentral:rRNA from 1 species
AAGGAUCAUUAUCGUACAACCGAGGUGCGAGGGCUGUCGCUGACCUUCAGAGGUCGUGCACGCCCGAGCGCUCUCCCACAAUCCAUCUCACCCUUUGUGCAUCACCGCGUGGGUCCCCCUUUGCGGGAGGGCUCGCGUUUUCACAUAAAACUCGAUACAGUCUAGAAUGUUUAUUUUUGCGGUCACACGCGAUCAAUACAACUUUCAACAACGGAUCUCUUGGCUCUCGCAUCGAUGAAGAACGCAGCGAAAUGCGAUACGUAAUGUGAAUUGCAGAAUUCAGUGAAUCAUCGAAUCUUUGAACGCACCUUGCGCCCCUUGGCAUUCCGAGGGGCACACCCGUUUGAGUGUCGUGAAAUCCUCAAAAUCCUCUUCUUUGAUCGGAACAGGACUUUUGGACUUGGAGGUUCAAUGCUCGCUUUCACCUUUGAAAGCGAGCUCCUCUCAAAUGAAUUAGUGGGGUCCGCUUUGCUGGUCCUUGACGUGAUAAGAUGUUUCUACGUUUUGGAUUUGGCACUGUUUUCUCCGCUCCUAACCGUCUCGUGGACAACGAUGGUGCUUCGGUCGCCGCCGUCUAUGGCGGGAGGCUGGACCCACAAAAAACCUUGACCUCAAAUCGGGUGAGACUACCCGCUGAACUUAA